CUUCCUCGUUAGACGCAGGAUGGGACCCGUCCUGCUCAGCGAGCGUAGCUGGAUCCUGACACAGCACCGUCUGUUAGGACGUGGAUUCAGAGAGGCCAGGGGUCAUACCAUUUUGUUGUGAUCACAGCCGCAUCCAGUAGGAAGCUCAGGCAGCCACCUACUGCAAGUCACGCCGUCUUUCACGGAGCGGGGAAGCGUGGCAUCUGAAUUAUCACAAUGAGGAAUCGCUUGCAGGCACGACCAGCAGAGACCCCAUUUUCAAAUCGGGACACAUACACGGAUACUGAGGGUUGAAGGGAG
rnacentral:lncRNA from 1 species